GAUGAAGAACGUAGUAAAAUGCGAUACUUGGUGUGAAUUGCAGAAUCCCGUGAACCAUCGAGUUUUUGAACGCAAGUUGCGCCCGAAGCCUUUUGGCCGAGGGCACGUCUGCCUGGGCGUCACGCAUCGCGUCGCCCCCCACAACUCUCCGUAAAGGGAACUUGUGUUUUGGGGGCGGAUAUUGGUCUCCCGUGCUCAUGGCGUGGUUGGCCGAAAUAGGAGUCCCUCCGGUGGACGCACGAACUAGUGGUGGUCGUAAAAACCCUCGUCUUUUGUUUCGUGCCGUUAGUCGCGAGGGAAACUCUUUAAAAACCCAAAUGUGUCAUCUCUUGACGGCGCUUCGACCGCGACCCCAGGUCAGGCGGGACUACCCGCUGAGUUUAAGCAUAUCAAUAAGCGGAGGA
rnacentral:misc_RNA from 1 species